rnacentral:rRNA from 1 species
GUAGAGUUUGAUCCUGGCGUCAGGAUGAACGCUGGCGGCGUGCCUAACACAUGCAAGUCGAGCGAAGCACAAGAAUACGAUUCUUCGGAUGAAGAUUCCUGUGACUGAGCGGCGGACGGGUGAGUAACGCGUGGGUAACCUGCCUUACACGGGGGAUAACAGUUAGAAAUGACUGCUAAUACCGCAUAAGACCACAGUACUGCAUGGUACAGUGGUAAAAACUGAGGUGGUGUAAGAUGGACCCGCGUCUGAUUAGGUAGUUGGUGGGGUAACGGCCCACCAAGCCGACGAUCAGUAGCCGGCCUGAGAGGGUGGACGGCCACAUUGGGACUGAGACACGGCCCAGACUCCUACGGGAGGCAGCAGUGGGGAAUAUUGCACAAUGGGGGAAACCCUGAUGCAGCGACGCCGCGUGAGCAAUGAAGUAUUUCGGUAUGUAAAGCUCUAUCAGCAGGGAAGAAAAUGACGGUACCUGACUAAGAAGCCCCGGCUAACUACGUG